AGAGGGGUGCAAGCGUUAAUCGGAAUUACUGGGCGUAAAGGGCGCGUAGGUGGUUAAUUAAGUCAGAUGUGAAAUGUUCAGGGCUCAACCUGGAUUUGUCAUAUGAAACUGGGUGACUGGAGUACGGUAGAGGGUAGUGGAAUUUCCGGUGUAGCGGUGAAAUGCGUAGAUACCGGAAGGAACAUCAGUGGCGAAGGCGGCUACCUGGACUGAUACUGACACUGAGGCGCGAAAGCGUGGGGAGCGAACAGGAUUAGAUACCCUGGUAGUCCACGCUGUAAACGAUGACAACUAGCCGUUGGGACUGAAGAGGGUUUUAGUGGCGCAGCUAACGCGAUAAGUUGUCCGCCUGGGGAGUACGACCGCAAGGUUA
rnacentral:rRNA from 1 species